GUGGGAAAGAACCAUGGGGAUUUGUAACCUGUUUCGCUCCCAUGCCUGGUGCUUCAGUGAUGCAGAGAAGGGCUGAUGCAUUGGUUGAUUUCCCCACCUUUUAAUCUACUCUCUUCUUCUCUUUUAACAGUUAUUCUAAGGGCCCCCCGUGCAUCAUAUGAGCAUUCUUCUGGGUGCAGAUGGCAUCAGACCUGCACCUGAAUAAAUAAUAGGGACUGAAAUAUGCAGACACUAAAGUUCUGCAGCCAAAUUCUCAGGAACCUUCCUCUUCCAUGUAGGAUCAGGAUUUUGUUUUGAAUUGUUUUAUUUUUUUAAAAAGUGCUAAGCAGAUGCUACCCUGUAAGAAGAGGAAUCAGAAGCAAAAACUGAAAGACUGUUACUAAAACCAAUGAACAGCUGCAGAGAGUGGAGACCCAGCAAAGCAGACAAAUGAAUACUGUGAAUAAAUAACCUGAAAGCAAAUGGGGAAGAAAACCUCCUCUGGGUAAUUGUGGCUCUUGGGACCAAAAUCAGGUUCCUGGGAAAGGAUCCCCAAAGGAGGUGUAAGGAUCCGGGACUCUAGUGUCUGCCAGAAGCUUCAGCCACCUUCACAGGUUAGAGCUCGCCCUCCAUUGCGGAGGUGAAGACCAGAUGGGAGCUGCUGG